GUCCCAGGAGACCCGUGGCAUCUCGGGGUCACGGAGAGCUCCUCAUGGACAGACACAUCCCGGUGGACGCGGCCCACCCUCCCGGCACCAUCGGACGCCGGCCUGAAGCUGGGCUCCGUUUCUGCUGCCAAGUCCCCUCCAGACGGGGACCCUGCACGGAGCAGCCCGCAGCCCUGCCCGAGCCGAGGACGGUGGCCUCUCCUCCCCGCGAUCCAAGGACGACGGGCUUCCGACUCCAAGUCCAAGUUCACCGACACGGGCUUAACGAUGACUAAUGCCUGGGUGAUUAUCUUGUGCUUUCUCUGUGCGGCGC